rnacentral:misc_RNA from 1 species
GCUCAAGCUGUUCUGGUCUCGAAGUCGACGAGCAGCGAGAAAUUUCUUCAUGCAGAGAUUGAUCAGAGAAUCCCUGACCAUAUAACACAAUUCAUAUGCCCAAAUUUUAAUAUUUCUGUGAUAAUCAAGAAAUAAAAAGGAAUGGCAGAGUUACCUUUCUAUUAACCUUAAUUACAUUAGCACACCAUAUAAAAAAUAUCUCCCUAGUGUAGAAGGCAAUGGCCUUUCUCAAAGCAUUCACAUGUUAGUUUGUUCCUAAUGCUACAGUUGAAAAUCUCUGACAUCAAUCUUCAUCGUCCAUAGCAGCAUCACCAUGUUGCUUGUCAACAUCCUCUCUGAUUUCUCCAUCGCUCUCUUGCAGCUCAGCAGAAUUUUCUCGGACAGGACUGGACUGUGGUUUCCUCUCUAAUGCCUCAUCAUCAUCAGAUUCUGACCAUGCCCGCCUCCUCCUACUUGUUGAUGAAGGCGCAGGCUUCUCCCAAGAAAAUAAAACAAAUUUCAGCCAGCAAAUAAAAGGAAUAUUCCAUUUUGGACAACUGGAGCUCAAUAUGCAAAAUUAAUAACUUGAAUAAAAGAAAAUUCAAAUUAAAAAAUAUCCCAGUUUCACUUUCAUUGAUGAUUCACUGAUGAUAACACCAAAAGACAGCCCAGUGAUGAAUCACUAAUGUCAGCAACUUAAUGCUAACAAACUAAUAAACCUCCCAUAAUUAUCUGCAACUUGUCAGGCACGCUAUUAAAACCAAGACCACCUAAAAACAUGUGAUAAGUAUUCAAAUAGCAAAUUAUCAAUGCAUUUAAACUGUUGGACAUAAGAUUGUGAACUUCCAACAGCAAAAUUGUGAUGAUAUCUGAUUUAGAUAAUGUAGCUAGGUUUCAUGAUGAAAACAUUCUUUGCCACACUGAAUAGUAAGCAAAAAAUAAAAACUGAUAACAGUUUCAAACAUUCUUACUGCUUCAUCCUCCGCAUCAGAAUCUUCAAGCCCAGCUGCUGCAAGAAGUUCCUGAGCAUUUUCUUCUGCAUUUUCAUCAUAAUCAUUCCCUUUGCUUCUGUGUUCCCUGUAAUUAAUAUUGGCAUCUUCAUCUUCCAGUUCUUCAUGAUCAUCCAUCAUGUCAGCUUCAUUUUCUUCCAUUUCAUAGUGUGACUUCGAACUCUUAUCCUUCCUUCUCUUCUUUCCACCUUUUCUCCUUCUCUUCUCACUAUGCCCACCCUCAUCAUCAUCUAUUUCAGACCUAUCCCUCCUCUUAGAAGCAGGUGUACUACUCUUCCAUUGCUCCUUUACACGCUCAAAAUGCUCCUCUUGUUGCCGCACCCGUUUUGCUUCAUCUUCCUGCUUCCUCCUCUCUAACUGAAAUUUCCUUUGUUCUUCUGCUUUACGACGGGCUUCCUCGGCCAAUGCCAUCUGACGAGCCACUUCCUGUCUCUGCCGGUUCUGCUGCUCCUCACGCUCAGCUGCUUCACGAUGAACUUUUGCAGCAUCGAGUAAAUGCUUACAAUACUCAACAUGGGUGUUGAUUUUCUUCUCAUCAAACCCAUGAAAGUGAAGGUUGGAAGAAGCAGAUAACUGACUGAAUAAACGAACAGCAUUUUCCAGCUCAUCAACUGUUGAGCGCACCUCGUCUACUGUUCUCUUCGUCUUUUGUAGUGUAGAUGCUGAGAAUUUUUGCAUUGCAACUCCUGCAUCAAACCUUAGUAUGUAAUUUGAAGGUGCCAAGUGGAUAGCUCUUAGUAAAGUUUUCUUGCAGUCCUGCCACUGUUCAGCUUCAUAAUGUGUACGGGCCAAAUAGAGGAGAAUUUGAGAGUCUGUAUUAUAAUAGAACUUGCGCAGACAAUUUUGAUACAUCUUCACAGCUAAUGCAAAAUUGCCUUGAGCAAAAUAAACAUGUGCCAAAUUUAUCCACACAUCUGGCAUCUGGACAAAAAUGCUUCCACUUGCAGCCUCCUGGACCUACAUCAUCAAAAAAAUGGACAAAAGAUCCAACAGGAAAGGAACGGCGGGGACUGGGGAAUAGAAGCUAAAAAUUUAUAUAAUCCAAAAUGUAUAAAACUACUUGAAUAACCUGUGUAAAAAGAUCUUUUGAUACAUCAAAAUGUCCUUUUUCUGCCAAGACUACUCCAGCACCAUUGGCAGCAUACAAAUUAGCUGUAUGCUGAACUAGGACCUAUAAUGCCAAAGAUUAUAGAUGCACUAUAAGGAUGAAGUUGCACUAACAAAAAAUAUGGCGCUAAAAACAGAAAGACAGACAACUUGUAAUUUCCAUGUGUUCCAAGAUUAUAUACAAUUAAGUCAACCUCUGCUCCUUGUCAUACUGCCCAACCACUUAGUAAGAUACUUAUGGCACCACAACGGCAUUUGCAUUUCAGACUUAAACAAUGACAAUGAUUAUAUUAUCUUUCAAAAGAAAAAGAUAGAAGGAAAAGGAGGAAAAACCACAAGUUAAAUUAUCAACAAUUGAUAUGCAUAAUGUUAUCAAUUUAUUGGAUCAGAGUCCAACUACGUAGCAAAGCACAUACAUGCAAAUCAAUAUAGAAAAGUUAUAGAAGCAUAAUGUCAUAGCUAUAGAAAGCACUAUAAAUGACAGCAUUUUAACCGGAGAAAAGACCCAGAUGAUGAGGAAGGCUGAGGAAGAGGACGGAAUCCAUACUCUGGUGUAUAGUUCCUUGGCUUUCUCCAAAUGGGUAGCCUCCAACUUAGGAUUUCUUUUCUCAUUCCGUAUUGCAGCAAAGUAGUUCCAGUUUCCCUUAACAAUGCCAAUAAGUGAGUAAGACGCAUACGGAGUGACAUACAGUAAAAAUGAGAAUGCAUACAACUGCCACAAAAAGCAGUUACAAAAAUGUGGAUGUAGGGAGAAUGACAAGGCAUCUGAAAACAAUUCACAGAAGCAGGCAGAAGAUAUGCACCAGAGAGAGAAUAGCAUAAGAAUCCUUCCCAUCAGUUGCUUCACUGGCAGCCCGAAAGGUUUCUUUCGCCUUAACCCACUCAUCAUUUUUCAGCUCCAAAUCACCAAGCAUUGAUAACGCAUUCGGACACUUGUCAUUCACCUUCAGAGCAUCAUUAACCAGUUCAAUGCUUAAUUGAAGAUUAUUUCGAGCUUUUGCAAUGGCAGCCAGCCUCAAAUAAGCAUCCACAUAGUCUGGAUACUUAAACAAUAUGAGACGGUAUAACACACUUGCAGUUUCUGUGUUAUGCAUCUGCUCAAGUAAUCUGGCCAAAUUAAAUAAUGCUGUGACUUUAUCCCAAGGUAGCUCUACAACAAAGCCAUCUUCCUCCAAUCGAUGAAAUAAUUGCAUGUCUUUGUAUUGGAGAAUAGAUGCAGCUGCAUCAACUGUAUACGUCUUUGCUUGACUAUCAAGGAAAGCACGCCAUAUUCCAUCACCUAGAGCCUCCUUGAAAGUUUCCAGAGCAAGCUUAAGUUCCUCUCUUUCAAAAUAAAUAACUCCAAUAUUAUUAAGCACUUCUAUUGGCACUUCUUGACCUCCCUUUUUCAGAAGACUGUAUGCAGUUUUGAAGGCAUCAAGAGCAGCUCCUGCAUCAGAUGAAAUUAACAAUUCACCCAGGUCGAGAAACGCCUGUGCAUCACGUGGAUCAAUUUUUGUAGCCUUCCUCAAAAGUUCUAGAGAUUUCUCAGUCUGCCCAAGCUGAACGUAAAUAUGACCAAGAACUUUCAAUGUCUCACAAUUAUCAGGGUAGACCUCCAAAACCUUUUCAAAAUUUGAUAGUGCAUUUUUAAUAUCUCCCAACUUCAGUUGUACUUGCCCCAAUCCAUAAUAUGGAAACACAAAUUCACUGGGCUUAUUGAUUUCCUUCACAGAUGCCCAGUAGUACCUUGAAGCUGUUUCAUAGUCCCCCUUGCUAUGGUAAGAGCGUGCUAAAUUGUAGUAAGAGUGUGACUUUGUUGGUCCAUGAUUGGUCACGGCAAGUGCAGUUUCAGUCAGUUGCUCAACUAAAAAGUGCUGACCAGUGAAGAAAAAGUGAUUUGCUAGAUAAUUCAGUGCCAUUGCACAGUAGGGGUAUAUCUCAAACGCCUUCUGCAUUUUUUCCACCCCUCUCCUUAUUCCAGCAGCUUCAUUUGUUUGCAAAUCCAAAAUUGCAAGGGCUACAAGAGCUUCAACAUUUUCUGGAUCUAACUGUAUUAUACAAAAUCAGGAAAUAUAUGGAUACCAGCAUCAGUUCGAUGCGUGCAAUUUAUACAGUUGGUAACCAUAAUUCCAAUGCAUGUACACCAGAUCACAUCACUUGCCUGCAAAAUCUGUUCAAAUGCUUGCCAUGCUUUUUUAAAAUGGCCCAAUUUAUAGUGGCAGUGACCUAUACCAGGCCUUACAGCUCCAGGACAAUUAGGAUACACUUGCAAUGCCCUUUUACCAAAUGUCAAAAUAGCAAGUUAAUCACAAACUAGAAAAAUUAUGUCAGAUGACAAGAUUUCUCACGGCUCCUAUCAACUCGUCUUCAGAAUACAAAUGAAAUGUAUUAAAAAAAAAAGUAGCAUGGAUGGCAAACAAUAAGGUGAAAAUAACAAACCUUGUACGUUUCACAGAACUAACUCAUUAGUCUUUACCAUGUUAGACACAAUAAUUAUCAAAUUUAUGCCUAUGCCAAAUAUAUUUGGAAUGUAGCUAAGCAGACAAGAUAGCCUUAGAUGGAAUAGCAUUAUAUAGGAAAGUAAUGCAAUCAAAGAAUGAUGAACAUAAGCAUUUACCGAACAAAGUUGGGUUGAAAAAUAAGCCAAAAAACUAAAAGGUGUCAAGUUAGAGAAACAGAAGGAAUUUUAUCAAGAGAAAAACUUGCUGUAAAAGGAAACAAUGCAACCAUCAUCCAUCUCUACAGGGCAUUACAACAAAAUUUACAGUAGAGAGCAAAGCAAGUUUUCUGGACAAACAAUAAUGACCUAUAUACAAUCACUAACAGAAUCAAUUGAAUAUAGAGAAGAUUUAAUAUACCUGACCCAAAAGGGCAGAUACAUUAUCACAGUCUCCCUCUAGAACGAUCUUAAAUGCAUUAGGUGCCUGUUCUAAUUCACCUUUGGCCAGUAAUAGCUGACCUGUAAUGUGUAGAAAAUCACAACAUGAUCUUAAAGUCUUCAGUAAGUAUGCGGGCCACAACACAGAAGAAGGCUCCCUAAAAUUGAGUAAUAGCUUGCAACCAAGGGUUUGAUAAUGUAGAUUCUUCAGAGACACCAACCAUCAAAGCAUGAUUUAAUAUAUUAGUAGUACAGAGGUGAAAAAAUUGGUUUCCACACUUCUAGUAGUCCAUUCAGGAUUCAGAAGUGCUGCAUUUUUUAUGUCACAGUCAGAUAAAAGAAAGAACACAAAAUAAUUCAUUGCUACUUGCAAUCCAAAACAACAAUAAUAAACGUGAAAACAGAUUCAGGUAACACGCAACCAAGAAUUCAAUGAUCCAUAUUUCUGAGCCAUACAUGAAAUGGAGAUAUAGCAACUCGAGUUAAUCAUAUAAAGAGUCAAGCACUGAACAUUGUACACAAAGACAACCAAAUGAAAAGAAUGAAAUGGGAGUAAAGUUCUAACAAGGAUUUGUAAUCAUUUUAAACAAAUAUGCAAGUACAAGGUACCUGUCUGAUCACUUAUUCAGUCAUAUUUGAUAACAGAGAUUUUUUUAUAAAAAAUUCCUCUUUUUCUCUCUGUUUGGUCUCGAUUUUCCAAGAUAGAUAUAAUAAGCCCCUAAAGCAUUUAAUGUACACAUUAAUGGCAAUUCUUUCAUAUCCAACAUCAGCAUAACAUUCAUCAAUUUCUGCAAUAAUUUUUUUUUUUGAAAAAAAGAAACAAACCAUUUAUCAGAUUAUCUGAAAUACCAGCUCAGAUGCUUUGACCGAGUUUUCCUUGUUUAAAUUGCUCCCUCUGAACAGCAACCACAUCACCAGCAAAUUUAAAUAAAUAAAUAAAUAAUUUCUCCAAAAAGGAAAGCAACAGCAUACUAAACUAAAAUGGUGUAACUAAGCAAAAUGAAUAAUUCAAGUACCCUAGAAAUUAUUAUUUCAGUGCCCUUAGUUUUGUCAAUGUCAGUUCUAAAUGGAAAUUCGCGAUUAACCGCUAAUUGUAGAUGACAAAUUGAACGAAAAGGACAACGAAAAGAAAAGAACCAACUGCGAUGAUAAGCCAGAGAUCGAGAGGAGCUUGCUCGGCUUUAAGAAUGUCGAGAAUAUCAAGCGUCUCUAGGGAGCUGAUACAGAGCCACCUGACCUCCUCCUCCGAGUUCUGCACAGGAAUGUACACAGAUACCAUUUAUGGUUCUCAAUCGAAAUACAAAAAACUAAUUGAAAAAGAAAGCAAAAUCCUAUCGUGCUUUCUUUGCCUGCUGGUUCCUUUGGGCUUUUGGCGGUAGAAUGGCGUCGAAGAAGCAGAGAGUGGAUAAC